rnacentral:rRNA from 1 species
AGUGAGGAAUAUUGCGCAAUGGAGGCAACUCUGACGCAGCCAUGCCGCGUGCAGGAAGAAGGCGCUACGCGUUGUAAACUGCUUUUAACCGGGAAGAAACCCCAGGACGUGUCCUGGGUUGACGGUACCGGAGGAAUAAGCACCGGCUAACUUCGUGCCAGCAGCCGCGGUAAUACGAAGGGUGCAAGCGUUAUCCGGAUUCAUUGGGUUUAAAGGGUGCGUAGGUGGGGCGAUAAGUCAGUGGUGAAAUCCUGCGGCUUAACCGUAGAAUUGCCAUUGAUACUGUCGCUCUUGAGUACGCUUGACGUGGGCGGAAUGUGCCGUGUAGCGGUGAAAUGCUUAGAUAUGGCACAGAACACCGAUAGUGAAGACAGCUCACGAAGGCGAAACUGACACUGAGGCACGAAAGCGUGGGGAUCGAA